rnacentral:tRNA from 1 species
GGCCUUAUAUUCAAAUAUGAUUUUAAAUUGCAAGUUUAAAGGUGGAGACUCUCCUAAGGCUU